CCUACGGGUGGCAGCAGUGAGGAAUAUUGGUCAAUGGGCUUACGCCUGAACCAGCCAAGUCGCGUGAGGGAAGACUGCCCUAUGGGUUGUAAACCUCUUUUGUCAGGGAGCAAUUGGCGCUACGUGUAGCGUUAUCGAGAGUACCUGAAGACAAAGCAUCGGCUAACUCCGUGCCAGCAGCCGCGGUAAUACGGAGGAUGCGAGCGUUAUCCGGAUUUAUUGGGUUUAAAGGGUGCGUAGGCGGUUUGAUAAGUUGGAGGUGAAAUGUCGGGGCUCAACCCCGGAACUGCCUCUAAUACUGUUGGACUAGAGAAUAGUUGCGGUAGGCGGAAUGUAUGGUGUAGCGGUGAAAUGCUUAGAGAUCAUACAGAACACCGAUUGCGAAGGCAGCUUACCAAACUAUAUCUGACGUUGAGGCACGAAAGCGUGGGUAGCAAACAGGAUUAGAUACCCCUGUAGUC
rnacentral:rRNA from 1 species